UACAUCAAACAUAUUCAAGUAUGAACAUGCUUGUAAACUACUGACAAAAAUUAUACAUAUAUUGAAAGAUGAGUUCACUGUUACUAUUGUUCAUCAAAGGGAAGAAAAGUCGAUUUUGCCCUUGCUGUUCGUGGAGAAUAUCAAGCUGGUCUUCUAUAAAACGUGAAUAAAGAACCAAAUAGGGGAUUCGGGAACCUUCGCAAAAACAAAAAAAAAAGAAUCACCGACUGAAAGAGAGUUGAAAUCGACAGAGAGAGUGAGAGUGAGAGUUCGUUCUUAUCUAUCUCAUAGUCAGAAGAAAGAAAAUUGAAAUCGACAGAAAGAGAGAGAGAGAGAGAGAGAGAGAGAGAGAGAGAGUUUGGUUCGAUCUUGGUCUCUGAUGUGGUUCUUCGUCUCGCUUAGAUUGAUAGUGAGGGAGGUUGUUGAUCGGCAUAGACAGGUCUCAAUUUUCGUUUGUUUCCAGCUUGGAGGCAUAAAAGAUUGUAUCUGAAUUGCAAAGCUCUGAUUUUUGGUGUGGAUGGAGGAUUUUAAUUAGCCGAGCUCUUUCUUUCUGUUCUUAUCAAUUGAUGCCCGAGUAUAUAAAGCAAAACGUGUAAUCUGCUGUGUUCGGGAAGCCUCCAUCAACAUCCAGAAUCACUGUUAGUAACCUCAGAGUCGGCAAUCAUGCAGAAUCACCAACAGUGAGGACUCAGUAAGAGUUCGACUUUGUAAGAUCAACAUCAAUAUCGUCGUUAUCCAUCUUUUCUUCACAUACCCAAACUGAUUUUGUUUGAUUUUCAUGAUAUAAUCGUCUUUCUGAAAACGAUUGAUGUUAGAUUGGUUUUCUGUCAUUUGCAGUCUCUGUAAAAGUUCAAGGAGUGAGAUACAAAAGAGCAAAGGACAAAUCAAUUUACGUUUGUUUUGGAAAAGGGCACGAUCUGCUGCACGAAUGAGAUUCAGAGAAAAUUCUUGACUGCCAAUUCUAAUCCCCUUAACAGAGGUUUUGUGCAAAGGAGUAUGUGGAUUGUUCUUUUGCCACUGUUCCUGGUUUUGUUAAUUGUUGUUAGUUGGUUGUCCUAUCGUGGUUUAGGUAUCUAACUUUUGCCUUUAGAUUAUUGAAUGUUCAGGUAUUUUUGUGAUUACUCGGCAGGGGGUAUAUUUGAUAGAGGGUAUGCAAUGUUAUGGUUGAUUGUAUAGAGAUGGUUUGUUUGGCCGUUGUUGUAUUUGGAUGAUAGAAUUUGUUUCGGUUAUGGUGGUUUAUAUAGUUGUAAUAGAUGGUUUGUUUGGUUUUGUUCAGCAGACAUUGGGAACAGUGUGCGAUCAAAUUUUGGAAGUGCUUUGAAUUCAGUCUCUAUAAAAGGUCAAGCACUAAGAUACGAAAGAGAAGACAACAAAUCAGUUUGGGUUCAUUCUGGAAAAGAUUUUAUGUUUUUGCCUAGACUGGUUAAGGAGCUUGAUGAUGCAGCAGUCAAAGUUCAGAAAGUUUUGUAUAUCAAACUCAAAGAAACCUUGCAGAUCGUGCAGUGGUGGCUGAGGAGAUGGAAACCUUUUAGAUUCUGCAGCUCUCAAGCAGAGUUCUGUGUCAUUCUUCGAUGUUGAGAAGCCGGAAACCGCCUCUUUGUGGUAGGCAAGGGCUAGGACUAGGCUGCGAAGAUUGGAAAAUGUUUGUCUAAGGAUGAGAAAACACAAAACUUAGCUCUUCAACAUUGGCUUGAAGCUAUUGAUCCACGCCAUCGGUAUAGACACAAUUUACACAUGUACUACGAGUUGUGGUUUGAAAGUCAGAGUAGCCAGCUUUCUUCUACUGGCUGAAUGUUGGAGAUGGCAAGGAAACAAAUCUUGAGCUAUGCUCGAGGACAGUUCUAUAGAGCCAAUGCAUCAAGUACCUUGGACCGAAAGUCAUUGACUGGAAAAGUCAAAGGACAAGGCAUUUCUAUGGAGAGCUCUAAGAGGAGUUUCCACAGUAAUAUGCCCAAAUGUAUGCAAUAUCUACACCUGGAACUUACUGACUUAAUUUUUGUCUUCCUAUAUUAUCACGUAAAACAUGCUCCAUACAUUAUACAUAGAUCCCAAUUCACUAACUUUAUAUUGCUCUUACUUUUGAUAUUCUUAUAUUAUAAUUUUGCUGUGACAAUGAUAUUGUAAUCUAUAUCUACUGUUGCAAAGCCAUUUAGUUUCUUAGUUGUCGCAAUUUUCUUGACAUCAUACUUAUUUUGAAAUUGAAACUUUAAAAAUGUCUUUUGAAUGUUAUUUCUUUUGUCAGGAUGGUUUCUCAUCUAAUGUUGGGACCUUGAAAUGGGUAAACCAUGUCAUUCUCUUAUCUCAGGUGCCUCUCUCUCUUCCUCUCAGUGUUAGAAACAUCACCACUGUAAAGGAAUUGUUUUUUUUUACUAUGAUUAAUAAAACUAGCAGUUAAAUGUUUACAAAGGUGCUGGUGGCAUUCAAGCUCUCAUGAAAAGCAAUGAAAGAAAAUUAGCCAAAGAAGAUGGGUCAAUACUGAUGGCCUCUGAAAUCCCUUACACCAUCAUCAGGGCUGGUUUGUUACAAAAACUCUCCACGUGAAAUUCAAGGCUUUUAACUUUAAAAAGAUCAGUUGAUACCAAAGUUUUCUCCUUUUUUUUUUUUUUUUUCCUUGCAGCCAUUAGAGAACUAACCGAAUAUAUGUGGAUCAAUUAUGCAUAGUUUCUUCAUGUCCUUUGUGAAAUUCAAAUCAGUUUGCUCUCUUUACAUUGUUGUAAUCUAAUAUACAUGGGGAAAAAAUAUGUACUGUUCACAUUUUGUAAAGGAGGCCUGAAUUUUGUAGCAAUUGUAAGCAAUCCUAGACGAUGUCUGAAUAGAUCAUUAUGUAAAGUUCACUCAUAUGAUACAAAAGUGCAUUGGUCGUAGGAGAUUCUAGGUGUUGCAAUGGCUCUUUUUUCAAAUGAAAGAGAAACAGUCCACAAACAAGUAGCUGCUGAAACAUCCCAUGCAGAAUGCAUACUUGGUCAUAUUCCCAAAUUUUGGAUUCUUAUGAUAUGUUUGAUAGAUUUGCUUAUAUUUACCAUGUGAUCAUUGGUUUCUUAUGAAUUACUACAGUUUUUUUUUUCUAUUGGUUUAGGUUGAUCUUUAUUUCAGCAAGAGUUUAUAUAUAACUAAGUGAAUCACUCUCUUCAGAUGCUAGGCAUGAAUUUCAAAUAUUUAAAUCAUGGUGGUUCUGUGGCAGGUUGAAACUGAAUUUGAACACCAAUGGGAGAUGGUAAGGCGGAAGAAUGGAAAAAUGCGAUUCACAAUGGUGAACAUGUUUGGGGUUAGCAGACUGUUGUUCAUGUUCACUAUUUUAGCACAGUAGAAGAUAAAAAGCUAAAAGAGGGUCGAGUGAGAAAUUGCUUUUAGAUAAAGAGAACAAAAGCCAAUGCGACAGGAAUAACUGAGGGAACCCAUUCAAAGCAUCUGAAGCAUGGAUAGAGUGCCUAUUGAAAAAAUGAAAAGCUUUUCAUCAGCAAAGGUGAUAUGGCAAUAACAGCUUGGACUGUGGACCAGCAGCAUGAGAUGAAUAUCCAUGUAGAUCGUGUAUCAUUAUGCAACAUCCAUCACACACUUUUCAUUUGUAUUCUGUUUAUUCCUUCAUUAAACUAUGUAUACCAAGUUUGAUUUCUCCAUCAGAAUUAGUAAUAAGUUCAAACAAAACAAAAUCUGUAAAUUUCAACAAAGAUAAUUGGUAUUUCUACUAUGUAAUGUAACAAGAUCAAUCAUAAUCUCCACCAUGUAACAAUAAGUCU